GUUUUAUUUCAAACAAUGCACAUAUUUAACAUCGGCAUAAGACAUUUUUGCUACAAAACAAUGUAGAUCGUUGAGGGUAACUGAAAACAGUGGUGAGGGACCAGGACAAAUUUGGCUGUCGGAUGGCCAUAGAAAAUUAGAGACGCUUGAAAGCCUGGGGCCCAAGCCGUGCCCCAGGCCUGUGAUGUAAGACUAUUUGAAUCCUUUGUGGUGUGGUGGUCUCGUGCUGACUCGCAGGGUGGUAAAGGUUCAACACGUGGUUUAUUCUAACAGAGACACAAGGUAAACGGGAUUGCGUUCUGGAUGUGGUUCAUGAAGCAUCUGCCGAACAUAGGUAAACAAACAGUUAUAUUGGGAGUGGGCGGAGCGGUAAAUAGGCCACGCCUACAUGUUCUAAUUUACCCAGGUAAACCUUUGGUCUGUCUUGGCUUAAACGGAAAUGACAAAGUGGCCAUUUCAUGUUUGUAGUCGUUAGCUUAUCUAUAAAUUCAUUGUAGUCGUUAGCUUAUCUAUAAAAUCAUUAAAACCUUAUAUGGUGUUGUCCAUUAUGGGGUGAAGAAACCAUUCAUAACGUGCAUAGCUUGAAACAUGACAUCAGAAAUAGCAUAGACUAAAAUAAUUUACAUCACCUGUCUACAGUAACACAUCCACUGACUGAAGAAAACGUGAUGCCACUUUUGCAUUUGUUUUGAACAACUUUAUUUUGUUUAUAUUUGUUCAGCGGACACAUUCAGGGCAAUAAUUUAGUUCAAGUCAUUUUAACAAUCAAGAAUAGAUCAGAAUCUUUAAAUAAUAAAUAAGGUAUUACAUAUAAUAUACAACGGGCCUAUCAUCCUACAGAAGUGCAGCUCUCAAUCACAGGCUACAGCCGUCUCCCUGCGGCCUCAUAUACAAAGAGGGAAGGGGGGACUCUCAGCAGCUCCAGUGGUAGCACAGGUUAGCAGCUCCAGUGGUACCACAGGUUAGCAGCUCCAGUGGUACCACAGGUUAGCAGCCCCAGUGGUACCACAGGUUAGCCGCCACCACCGACAGCACCGACACGGCGCUCAUCUGCCGGGUGACGCCCGACGAGGACACGCCCAACGCGUUCGCCAGGUUCUGCACGGCCUGGUUCAGCGCGGCCUGGUUCAGCCCGCCGGUGUUCACUCCGGCCUGGUUCAGCCCGCCCAGGUUCAGCCCGCCGCCGUUCAGCGCGGCCUGGUUCAGCCCGCCGUUCAGCCCGCCCAGGUUGAGCCCGCCCAGCCCCGUACCCAUCUGCAGCUGCCCGGCCUGGUUGAUGGAAACAGGGACCCCGUACACCGGCACGUUACCCAGGUUGGGAAUGUUAACCGUGCCCAGCGGGACCAGUUGCCGCUGUUGUCCAAUGUUGGCCAUGUUUGCCAUCAUCGGGACGUUCUGCAUCAGCUGUGCGUUCUGCAUCCCGGGGAUGACCUGCAUCUGGGGGAGGUUCUGCACCGGGGCGACGUUCUGCACCAAGGGCACGUUGGCGCCGCUGACCACGUUGGCGGUGGGCACGUUCUGGACCGGGGCUACGUUCUGCACCGGGGCGACGUUCUGCACCAAGGGCACGUUGGCGCCGCUGACCACGUUGGCGGUGGGCACGUUCUGGACCGGGGCGACAUUGGCGCCGCUGGCCACGUUUGCGGUGGGCACGCUGCUACUGGGCCUGGCGACGGGCAGGGCCACGUUGGCCGGUCCCAACUUCCUCUCCUGUUGGGUGCUGGCCGCAUCUGCAUUGACUGGACCGAACGCACACAGGUGUUAUGAGGCUGCAGCUCGUUCCAGACCGUCUGUGAAACCCAGGGGGAGGAAACUGCCUGGAUCAACGGGUUUUCUUUAACUUACCGAACAAGAGGAGGAGAAGGAGGCCGAUUCUUCCAGUCAUUGUGAACAUCUUU
ensembl:lncRNA